ACUCAAAUGAAUUGACGGGGGCUCACACAAGCGGUGGAGCAUGUGGUUUAAUUCGAAGCUACGCGAAGAACCUUACCCAGACUUGACAUGGACGGAUUAGUUCCCGGAAACGGGAAUGACUGCCUUCGGGCCGGAACGUUCACAGGUGUUGCAUGGCUGUCGUCAGCUCGUGUCGUGAGAUGUCGGGUUAAGUCCCUGAACGAGCGAAACCCCUGUCGUCAGUUGCCAACACGUAAUGGUGGGGACUCUGACGAGACUGCCGUGGUUAACACGGAGCAAGGUGGGGACGACGUCAAGUCAUCAUGGCCCUUAUGUCUGGGGCUACACACGUGCUACAAUGGGCGGUACAGAGGGUUGCCAAGCCGCAAGGCGGAGCUAAUCCCCAAAGCCGUUCCCAGUUCAGAUUGGAGGCUGCAAUUCGCCUCCAUGAAGCUGGAAUCGCUAGUAAUCGCGGGUCAGCACACCGCGGUGAAUAUGUUCCUGAGCCUUGUACACACCGCCCGU
rnacentral:rRNA from 1 species